AGUGCAAGGCCUUGUGCCUAGUUGUCAACCAAGAUGCUUUUAGACAGCAAACAAGAUCAUUCAGGGUUUAAAUGUAAGAGACAAUUAGAUCAUCCCUCACCGUCCUUUCCUGCCUUGUCAGCAUUCACCAGGAGAAAAACAAAUUGGAUUGUGUAUUGUUUUUAAAUAUCAUAUAUGCAUGUGUAUGUGCUCAUAUAGAUGAGCACAUACACACUUGAAAUGAGGAAAAGAGAAGCUGUGUGUGAGUCCCAGCAGGAGCAGAGGUGUUCAGCAGAGCAAAGCCAGUACAUGGGACGAUGAGCUGCUGCAGAGUGUCAGCGUCCGGUUGAGCAUUGCAUAAGAAGAUCUAUUACCUCUCAUGAGCAGAAGGGGGUUUGAUCCUUCACACAGCAGUUCCCCAAUAUGUUUAACACUGAUCAGCCAAGAGGAAGACGACGGUUUUCAAUCCCUGCCCCUUGCAUGGUGAAAAGGACAGACUUUUCUCUGUAUGUUCUUUCGGAACCCAGUCAGCUCACACCAAAGGUCUCAGAAGAGCUUGAACUUGCGCAUGCUGGCCUUGGGAAAAGAAUAUUAAGCAUACCAGACAACCUGAAACAUGACGAGAUUGUGGCUCUUCUUGAGGAGGAAUUUCCUAAACUGAAGACCUUACAAGGAGGCUGGAUGUUUUUUAAGUCUACAGGUGGUAGUGGACGUCGCAAGCUGUCCAUAAUACCAACUGAUGCUGAGGGUUACUCCACAAGGCUUCUUAAAUCAGCAUCCCAC